rnacentral:rRNA from 1 species
UACAGAGGGUGCAAGCGUUAUUCGGAAUCACUGGGCGUAAAGCGUAUGUAGGUGGGUGGAAAAGUCAGUUGUGAAAUCCCGGAGCUUAACUCCGGAAUGGCAAUUGAAACUAUCCAUCUUGAGAUCGGGAGAGGAUGGUAGAAUUCCUGGUGUAGAGGUGAAAUUCGUAGAUAUCAGGAGGAAUACCGGAGGCGAAGGCGGCCAUCUGGCCCGAUACUGACGCUGAGAUACGAGAGCGUGGGUAG